UACGUAGGUGGCAAGCGUUGUCCGGAUUUACUGGGCGUAAAGAGCGCGCAGGCGGUCGGAUAAGUCGAAUGUGAAAGCCCCCGGCUCAACCUCGAGACGUCGAUGGAAACCGUCUGGCUAGAGUCCGGAAGAGGAGAGUGGAAUUCCUGGUGUAACGGUGAAAUGCGCAGAUAUCAGGAAGAACACUUAUGGCGAAGGCAGCUCUCUGGGACGGUACUGACGCUGAGACGCGAAAGCGUGGGGAGCGAACAGG
rnacentral:rRNA from 1 species